rnacentral:rRNA from 1 species
CGCCGCGUGAGUGAUGAAGGUUUUCGGAUCGUAAAGCUCUGUUGUUAGGGAAGAACAAGUGCCGUUCAAAUAGGGCGGCACCUUGACGGUACCUAACCAGAAAGCCACGGCUAACUACGUGCCAGCAGCCGCGGUAAUACGUAGGUGGCAAGCGUUGUCCGGAAUUAUUGGGCGUAAAGGGCUCGCAGGCGGUUUCUUAAGUCUGAUGUGAAAGCCCCCGGCUCAACCGGGGAGGGUCAUUGGAAACUGGGGAACUUG